CGGCGGCGGCGGCGGGAGAGCGCGGGAAGUCCGGAACCCCGGGCGCGGCGGCCGGAGUAUGAGCCUGGACCGCGAGCUUCGCCAGCUGAGCAAGGCCAAGGCCAAGGCCCAGAGGAGCGGGCAGCUGCGGGAGGAGGCCGCCGCCUGCCACCAGCUAGGGGAGCUCCUGGCCAGCCAUGGCUGCUACGCGGAGGCCCUGCGAGAGCACCGGCAAGAGCUGCAGCUCCUGGAGACCGCCGACGACCCUCUGGGCUGCGCCGUGGCCCACCGCAAGAUCGGAGAGCGGCUGGCGGAGAUGGAGGACUACUCGGCUGCGCUUCAGCACCAGCACCGCUACCUGGAGCUGGCACGAUCCCUGUCCAACCAUGUCGAGCAGCAGAGGGCCUGGGCCACCAUUGGCCGCACCCACCUGGACAUCUAUGAUCACCACCAGUCCCAGGAUGCCUUGCUGCAGGCGCAGGGUGCCUUCGAGAAAAGCUUGGCUAUCGUGGAUGAGAAGCUGCAGGGUUCACUGGCCAAGCGAGAGCUGAGUGAGAUGAGGACCCGACUGUACCUCAACCUGGGCCUUACGUGCGAGAGUCUGCAGCAGGCAGCCCUGUGCAAUGCCUAUUUCAAGAAGAGCAUCUUCCUUGCCGAGCAGAACCACCUGUACGAGGACCUGUUUCGUGCCCGCUACAACCUGGGCGCCAUCCACUGGCGGCAAGGGCAGCACUCGCAGGCCAUGCGCUGCCUGGAGGGCGCGCGGGAGUGCGCGCACGCCCUGAAGCAGGGCUCCAUGGAGAGCGAGUGCUGCCUGCUCCUCGCGCAGGUUCUCCAAGACCUGGGGGAUUUUUUGGCUGCCAAGAGAGCUUUAAAGAAGGCAUAUCGGCUUGGCUCCCAGACGCCUUUGCAGAAGGCAGUGGUCUGCCGGACCCUCAAGUAUGUGCUGGCCGUGGUCCGGCUGCAGCAGCAGCUGGAGGAGUCCAAGGAGAGUGACCCCCAGGGUGCCAUGGGCAUCUGUGAGCAGCUGGGGGACCUGUUCUCCAAGGCGGGUGACUUCCCCAAGGCUGCUGCAGCCUACCAGAAGCAGGUGCGUGCCCAGGCUGGGGCAGGGGGCGAGGGUGCCAGGCUGCGGGCCACGGGGUGUGGCACAGCGCUGGCCUCGCUGUCGUCGCCUUCCCAGCUGCGGUUGGCGGAGCUGCUCAACAGGCCGGGCCCCGAGCUGGCCGUCAUCCACGUGUCCCUGGCCACCACCCUGGGGGACAUGAAGGACCACCGCCAGGCCGUUCACCACUACGAACAGGAACUGAGGCUGCGGGGCGGCAACGCCCUGGAGGAGGCCAAGACCUGGUUGAACAUCGCGCUGUCCCGCGAGGAGGCCGGGGACGCCUACGAGGUGCUGGCGCCGUGCUUCCGGGAGGCUUUCAGCUGCGCCCAGCGGGCUCAGCAGCCCUGGCUGCAGAGGCAGGUCUUACGGCACCUCCACACGGUGCAGCUGAGGCUGCAGCCCCAGGAGGCCCCUGACACGGAAGCCAGGCUGCAGGAGCUGAGAGUGGCUGAAGAUGAGGGGGACGAGGGGGACGAGGAGGACGAGGAGGAUCACGACGCCCUGGAGGCCAUCGAGGUGGAGCUCUCAGAGAGUGAGGAUGAAGCGGACGGGUCCCGGCAGCUGGAGGAGGACGAAGAGCUUCGGGGCUGCUGGGGCCAGCGGCGGGUGAGCAAGUGGAACCGGCGCAACGACGUGGGGGAGACCCCGCUGCACCGGGCCUGCAUCGAGGGCCAGCUGGGCCGCGUCCAGGACCUCGUGAGGCAGGGCCACCCCCUGAACCCUCGGGACUACUGUGGUUGGACACCCCUGCACGAGGCCUGCAACUACGGGCACCUGGACGUCGUCCGUUUCCUGCUGGACCACGGGGCCGCGGUGGAUGACCCGGGUGGCCAGGGCUGUGAGGGCAUCACGCCCUUGCACGAUGCCCUCAACUGUGGCCACUUUGAGGUGGCCGAGCUGCUCGUUGAGCGAGGCGCAUCGGUCACUCUCCGAACCAGCAAGGGCCACUGUCCGCUGGAGACGCUGCAGCAGUGGGUGACGCUGUACGGCAAGGACCUGGACCGCGAAACGCGAGAGAAGGCUGCUGCCAUGGAGAGGCUGCUCCAGGCGGCCUCCUUGGGCCAAGCUCCCCAGAGCCUCCCAAGUAACCAUCUUUUUGAUCCUGAGACCUCUCCUCCCUCAAGUCCCAGUCCAGGACCCUCAGAGGCCUGUCAGGCCAGUGCCAGGGUUUCCCAGGGGCUGGCGGUGCCAGCUGUGGCCAGGCCUCGCAGGAGCAGGCACAAGCUGGCCAGCAGUAGCAGCUCGGAGGGCGAGAGCUGUGCAAGCCCACCCCGGCCAACGCAGAAGAGGCUCCGGCACUCUGGCCCGUCACCACAGGCCGCGGCCCAGAUGCCCAGCCCCGCUGAUGACAGGGAGGCAGCCGCAGCGCGUGCCGGCUGCGCAGCCUACCGAGCGGCCAUCCGCAGAGUGGGCAGUGCCCAGAGCUGCCGCCUGGGCCCCAGCGCACUUCAAGGCCGCAGCAAGGCCCCUGGGGCCCCCCGGGCGGCGCUCAUCCCUGAGGAGGACUGCUUGGCUGGGGACUGGCUGGAAGAGGACUUGCCACUGACCCACCGUCGCAGGGGCAGCCGCCCGCCCCGCCCCCAGAGCAGCGGGGAUGUCAGCGUACACAGUGCCUCAGGGUCAGGCAGAGACCCGAGUCCCAUCAGGCCUCGGGCACAGGCCAGGCAGAGCCAGCUGCCCCAUCUCGAGAGUUGGAGUGCACUGGUCAGAGCAGAUGAAGCCUGCAGCUCAGCAGAGCUCCCACGGAGCCCCGACGUCCCCAGGGCCUUGCCCACUGGGGAGCACCCUGCAGCAGGCCAGCCCUCGGGUCGUGCCCUGCCGCCUCCCAUCCGGGUUCGAGUUCGAGUUCAGAACAAUCUCUUUCUCAUCCCCGUUCCACAAGGCAGGGAGGCCCACUCCGUGGCCUGGCUGGCCGAGCAGGCUGCCCAGCGUUACUACCAGGCCUCUGGGCUGCUGCCUCGGCUCUCCCUACAGAAAGAGGGGGCCCUGCUGGCCCCACAGGACCCCAUCCCCGAUGUGCUGCAGAGCAACGAGGAGGUGCUGGCCGAGGUGACGUCCUGGGACCUCCCUCCGCUGCUGGAUCGCUACCGCCGGGCCUGCCAGAGCCCGGAGCAAGGGGAGCACCAGCAGGUGCUGCAGGCCAUGGAGCGGCAGGGCUCAGGACCCGCGUUCAGCGCCUGCUCCCUGGCGCUGCGCCAGGCCCAGCUCACCCCGCUGCUGCGGGCCCUGAAGCUGCACUCGGCGCUCCGGGAGCUGCGCCUGGCGGGGAACCGGCUGGGGGACGGGUGUGUCGCUGAGCUGCUGGCCGCCCUGGACACUGUGCCCGCCCUGACCCUCCUCGACCUCUCCUCCAAUCACCUGGGCCCUGAAGGCCUGCGCCAGCUUGCUGCGGGCCUCCCGGGGCAGGCCGCCUUGCAGAACCUGGAAGAGCUGGACUUAAGCAUGAACCCCCUCGGGGAUGGCUGUGGCCAGGCCCUGGCCUCCGUCCUGCGGGCGUGCCCCUGGCUCCGCACCCUGCGCCUCCAGGCCUGUGGCUUUGGCCCUGGCUUCUUCCUGAACCACCAGGUGGCCCUGGGCAGUGCCUUCCAAGGCGCCAAGUGCCUGGAGACCCUGUCGCUGUCCUACAACGGCCUGGGCGCCAAGGCCCUGGCCCAGGCCCUGCGGAGCCUGCCAGCCCACCGCCUCCUGCGCCUGGAGCUGAGCUCUGUAGCCGCCAGCAAGAGUGAGCCAGGCCUCACGGAGCCCGUGGUCAGCUACCUGACCAAGGAAGGCUGCGCCCUGGAGCACCUGAGCCUAUCGGCAAACCACCUGGACGACGAGUCUGUGAGAGAUCUGAGCAGAUGUCUGCCUGUCUGCCCCUCCCUGGUCUCGCUGGACCUGUCUGCCAACCCCAAGAUCAGCUGUGCCGGCCUGGAGGAGCUCCUGUCUGCCCUCCAAGAGCGGCCCCGAGGCCUCAGCUUCCUCGGCCUGUCAGCUCUCUCCUCAGGGACCUGCCCUAGGCCCAGGUGCCUCCUCUGAAGGGGCUGUCACUGCCACCAGCCAGACUGCAAGGGCGGGCUGGCCCCCUGGGGUUGCCGCAGCAGAGGACGGUGACCAGUGUGACUGGGAGCAGGUUGUGCUGUCCAGGGCCCCCUGGGCCUGGGCCUCUGGGACAAGGUUAUGGUGCAGCUGCAGGAGUUGCAGCUGUGCAGCAGACGUCUCUCCGUCGAGGACCGGGAUGCCCUGCACCAGAUGCU